UUUGCCAUGCCAAUGCAAAGAAGAUUGUCACACUUUCAGCAGCAGCAACAACCCUUUCUCAAUAGCUUCACAGCUUUGGGUUUUGGUUAUGAAGGAAGCACGAAUGCUACUUUUCUACAUGAGAGGCGCUUUUGCACCAGCCCAGGGUCUGAUUUGCUUGAAGAUCAUGGGCUUCUUCAAGACAUUGUCCCUUCCCAUAUGCUAAAGGAGUAGACGAGAACACGUUAUUACUUUGAAGUUCCAUUAACUGACUUUAAAGGAGGUGUAGAUGAAGGGGAGGUGAACAUGAAGGGGCCUCUACUGAUAUAUAUAAAAAUAUAAAAAAAUAUAUAGUCUGUAAUUUUCUUUUUGACAGGUCAUGAUCUCUCUUGAAGAAGAACCAGACUUCCAUUUACACAAGCUCUGAUGAAUUCACUGUAAGAUGGGGUUUUUCUCGAAUGACAAGGACUAGUGUCUUUGUUGGAUUCGGUUUCCUGGCCAUUGCUUCUAUUUCCCCCACCUCUUUCUCCCUCCUCCUCCUCACCCCAACCGCCAACGGCCUCACCCCUUCUUUUUCCAUUUCUGUGGUUUUGGGUUUGUAGGGAUUACAGAUGAUAUAGAAAAUGAGGUUAUUUCAACUUUAAUGCUAUCUUCCGACCCUAUCGUUUGUCUUAUGCUAUUUGUGUUUUGUUGUAGAAGGAAUGUGCAUUCAUUUCAAGAGAGCAAGUAAUACAAUCAAG
rnacentral:misc_RNA from 1 species